AUGUAUUUAUCAGUAUCUCUUCUCUUAAUAAUCGUCCAUUUUGCCAAAAAGGUGAACCCCAAAUCCUUCCUGCAUUCUUGUGGGCCAUUGAAAAAAAUGAGGAUGUGUGUCCGUCUUGUGCCACCCCAUGACCUGGGCGGAAGAAAGGGGACGAGGGCAUUUUCCUCCAGCGGCCUCUGGGUGCCCGGCCUGCGGCAGCCUCUGCUUGGGACUCAGAACCCUCUCAGUUUGAGGAAAGUCCAACUGAAAGCCAAAGAUGCAAGUGAGGUUCUCAGCAUCACAGGUGCGGGAGGGGAGAGCCUGACCGGCCCGAAGUCUCCCCGGGUGCCCUUUCCUCCCCUUCCGAACAGCGCUCCCUCAGGGCACUGCUUCUCUAGCCUGCUGCACGGGAGACGCUCCUGACCAGUUGUACAAGGCACAGACCCCACUGCGGAGGCUCUGAUCCACCGCCGUGUGCUGUCUCAUCAGUGCAGCUAGUAAAGCCGAGCGGUGCCGGCACGCUCCAUAAACUCGUGUCAAACGUUAACUCAGAGCUAAUGGGCACAAAGGAAUAAACGCAUUAUCUCCGCCA
rnacentral:lncRNA from 1 species